rnacentral:lncRNA from 1 species
UUUGGAAAGCGGGAGAGAGUCUGGUGGCGUGGUCUGUUUCUGCAGGCGUGGAGCGACCUCCAGGGGUCGUUAGUGAGUUAGAGAAACAGAGUGUGAGGAAGGAGUCUGAUGCAACCCUUCGGAUCGUAGCUGUGCCGCGUCUGGAUUUUCUGCCCCGUGGGCGUCGAGGCUUGCCUCAGCCUAGCGCUUCUGCCUGCUGCGGCUUUGUUGGCGUUGGGCACCAGACAACCUGGCCAAAACAAUUGGUGGCAGAUGGGAGCUUUUGGAGGAAACGAGAAGAACGGAAAGUCCAAAGGAAAAGCUUCAAGACAUGGUCAGGCAAGAUGUCAACAUCUGUCAUACGUCACUUCAUGUGCCAGGCUCUUUCACCUAAGGACUUUGUAAGUAUGGAUGUCUAGUGACAUUCUGCAAACAGCCACACUGAAUCCACUUUAGACCUUUUUAUAGGAACUCGUAUGAGCGCCUUCUAAAUGACCCUGUACAACCAAGGCCAAGGCAGCCUGGCUGCGCACGGCUGACUGAAGAGACCCUCUGCCAGUGGGGCUGCACAGGCCCCCUCUCACUGAAGAGCCUGGGGCGAUGAAAACAGCUCGUUUCUCUUUCACUUCCUGAUAGUGUAAUUCUCCAAAAGAUAAUAAAGUAGUAAAGCUAAAGAAUUAAAGAAUCCAAUUAACAGGCUUAAGUGUAUAUAUGAACAAAACCUGGGCUUGGCCAACAAGGGAGAAGGGGAAUGACUAGGGAGUAGGCACCAAAAAAAUCUGCUACAAUUGUCUGUACCCGUGUAUUCUAAAAUUUUCCACAAUAAAACACUGCAGAGCAGGGUGUGGCGGCACACACCUGUAAUCCUAACACCCUGGCAGGCUGAGGAUUGCAAUUUCAAGCCCAGCCUGGGCAAUCUGUCUACUUAGCUAGACCUUAUCUCAAAAAAUAAAAGAGGUUGGGAAUAUACCACAGUGUGAAGGUGCUGGGUUCAUUCCCUAAUUAAAAAAACAAAACAAAACAAAAAACUUUGCCUAUAUGAUUAAAAAAGAAAAAGAAAAUAUAAAUAUGAGGUAAAAUUGACACAUAAAACUAGAAAAGGUAGUCGUACCUUGAGGUAUCUGAGACAGAUAUAGUAGUAAAGGAAGCAGACCCAUUUCCUGGAAACCAACUCACUAAUUAGUCAGAAGCAGACCCAUUUCCUGGAAACCAACUCACUAAUUAGUCAAUCUACCAUAUUUACUUCUCUUAUGUACAAAAUUUACAGCCUUUCAUACUGAAUGGAGUUCUCUUCA